CACCCCAGUUCCCUCCAGCCCUCUCCAUCUCUCGGCGCCCCCUCUCCCUUCAUCCGCAUCCCCUCCACUCUCUCCCUUCGUCCCGCAUCCCCUCCACCCCGCUCCCCUCGGCCUCGUCCGCAGUUCUGCGCGCAGCUCACACUUGGGAGAGAUUCAGGAACGCAGGUGAAAAAUGCAAUCGAAUUAACCCAGCCAAGUAAUUAUUUUUAAGUGUGAAUGAAAAAGAAAAAAAGGAAAGACGAAUUUUACGAAGCAACACAUGAGAACUGAAGGUAAAUCCAAAGGCACUCAAACGAAAAGAAAAAAGGAGUGUGAUGUCACACAUUCUCACGGACAGGACCGUGCUGACCCCCCUUAGGCACGCACCUGACAUAUUUAUCAUUAAAUAAGUAAAGAAGGAGCCCGAGGAGUCCAACGGACAAAGGCGAACUGGAAGGUCAUCUAGUGUGAAAACUGACGUUCACCAAACGGUUUGCACUCGCAACACACUUCAGGCUAAAUCUCGGGUUCACACGUUCGAGAGAAGUUUACCUGGACCCACUUUAUAAAAUUCAAAAGUAAAUUCCUACAAUAUAAGUGAAUUUUUAUAGUGUAACAUCCCUGGAAUGGCAUGGCAACAGAGUGAGGAAUCAUUAAGGUUGCUUGUGUCGCCCGAAAAGAUAUAUCAAACUUCCAAAGCCACCAUCCCAGAACAUGACCUCAUUUGGGAAUAGGAUUAUUGCUCAUGUAAUUGGCUAAGAUGAGGUCACACUGGAGUAAGGUGUGCCUUUAGUCCAAUAUGACUAGGGUCCUUAUAAGAAGAGGAAAGGGACACAGAGAGGAGACUGUCAUGUGAAGUCAGAAGCAGGGAGAAGACAACCAGGCAAUGACAGAAGCAGAGAUUGCAGUGAUACAUCUACAAAGCCAAGAAAUGCUGGCAAACACAGAAGCUGGGAAGAGGCGAGGAAAGACCCUCCCCUCCAGGUUGACAGUUAUUUGAUUGACAAGAUAAACAGAAUUACUACAUCACUCAGCAGUUCCACUCCUAGACAUCUACUCCACAGACUUGAAACAGCUACUCAAACAAGAACAUGAAUGCUCAGAGUUGCAUUAUUCACAAUAGUUCUAAGAGGGGAACAUCCAAAUGUUCAUCAACAGAUAAUUGGACAAAUAGAUUGGGCUGUGUACACACAACAGAAUAUUAUCCAAACACAAAAAGGAAAUGCUGCUGGGUGCACUGGCGCAUGCCUGUAAUCCCAAUAGCUUUGGAGGCUGAGGCAAGAGGAUCGAGAGUUCAAGGCCAGCCUCAGCAAAAGCGAGGUGCUAAGCAACUCAGUGAGACCCUGUCUUUAAAUAAAUUACAGAAUAGGGCUGGGAAUGUGGCUCAGUGUUGAGUGCCCCUGAGUUCAAUCUCUGGUAACCCUGCCAAAAAGGAAAUGCCAACACACUCCAGCGUGGAUGAACUUUGAAAACAUUAUGGUUAGUGACCAUAGCAGGCACCAAUGUCACAUAUGAUAUGAUUCCGUGUAAAUGAAAUGCUCAGGAUAGGCAAAUCCACACAAAGAAAAGGCAGAUCAGUGGUUAUCAAGUACUAAGUGGAGAACAGAUGAGGAGUGACCACUUAAUGGACAUGGGAUUUCCUUUAGGGGUCUUGUGGUCCUAGAUGGAGGUGGUGGUGAUAUAACAUUGUGGGUGACAGAACUGUGCACUUUCAAAA